rnacentral:rRNA from 1 species
AGAAUCAACGCUGGCGGCGUGCCUAACACAUGCAAGUCGAACGAGAAAGGGGAGCAAUCCCUGAGUAAAGUGGCGCACGGGUGAGUAACACGUGACUAACCUACCCUGGAGUGGGGGAUAACUGAGGGAAACCUUAGCUAAUACCGCAUAACACCUACGGGUCAAAGGAGCAAUUCGCUUUGGGAGGGGGUCGCGGCCGAUUAGUUAGUUGGCGGGGUAAUGGCCCACCAAGACGAUGAUCGGUAUCC